rnacentral:rRNA from 1 species
UACGGAGGGUGCGAGCGUUGUCCGGAAUCAUUGGGCGUAAAGGGCGCGUAGGUGGCCCGGUCAGUUCGUGGUGAAAGCGCGGGGCUCAACUCCGCGUCGGCCAUGAAUACUGCUGGGCUUGAGCACUGUAGAGGCAGGCGGAAUUCCGGGUGUAGCGGUGGAAUGCGUAGAGAUCCGGAAGAACACCGGUGGCGAAGGCGGCCUGCUGGGCAGUGGCUGGACACUGAGGCGCGACAGCGUGGGGAGCAAACAGG